rnacentral:rRNA from 1 species
GGUUGAUCCCGCCGGAGGUCACUGCUAUCGGGGUUCGAUUAAGCCAUGCGAGUCGAGAGGGUUCAGACCCUCGGCGGACUGCUCAGUAACACGUGGAUAAUCUGCCCUAUGGUGGAGGAUAACCCCGGGAAACUGGGGAUAAUACUCCAUAAGUCAGGAGUACUGGAAUGUCUCCUAACUGAAAGUUGCGGCGCCAUAGGAUGAAUCUGCGGCCGAUUAGGUAGUUGUUGGGGUAACGGCCCAACAAGCCCGUAAUCGGUACGGGUUGUGGGAGCAAGAGCCCGGAGAUGGAAUCUGAGACACGAUUCCAGGCCCUACGGGGCGCAGCAGGCGCGAAAACUUUACAAUGCAGGAAACUGUGAUAAGGGAACCCCGAGUGCCCGUACACGCGGGCUGUCCCGGUGUUUAAAACACAUCGGAAGAAAGGGCCGGGCAAGACCGGUGCCAGCCGCCGCGGUAAUACCGGCGGCUCGAGUGGUGACCACUUUUAUUGGGCUUAAAGCGUUCGUAGCUUGAUUUUUAAGUCUCUUGGGAAAUCUCACGGCUUAACUGUGAGGCGUCUAAGAGAUACUGGGAAUCUAGGGACCGGGAGAGGUAAGAGGUACUUCAGGGGUAGAAGUGAAAUUCUGUAAUCCUUGAGGGACCACCGAUGGCGAAGGCAUCUUACCAGAACGGCUUCGACAGUGAGGAACGAAAGCUGGGGGAGCGAACGGGAUUAGAUACCCCGGUAGUCCCAGCCGUAAACUAUGCGCGUUAGGUGUGCCUGUAACUACGAGUUACCGGGGUGCCGAAGUGAAAACGUGAAACGUGCCGCCUGGGAAGUACGGUCGCAAGGCUGAAACUUAAAGGAAUUGGCGGGGGAGCACCACAACGGGUGGAGCCUGCGGUUUAAUUGGACUCAACGCCGGGCAGCUCACCGGAUAGGACAGCGGAAUGAUAGCCGGGCUGAAGACCUUGCUUGACCAGCUGAGAGGAGGUGCAUGGCCGUCGUCAGUUCGUACUGUGAAGCAUCCUGUUUAGUCAGGCAACGAGCGAGACCCCU